CUGCUGUUCCUUCGAGACCAACCCGCGCUAGUUGCGCCCGUGGCAUGCGGAAGUUCCUGGGCCCCAGGGAUCAAACCUACGCCCACACCAGUGACGACAUCGGAUCCUUAACCUGCUGUACCACCGGGGAACUCCUGAUAAUGCAUUCUGAUAAUAAGCAAUGCACAGUGGAACUCACAAAACAUUUUUCAAAUGCUGAUUCGAGAUAGAGAGAAACCACUCGGGGAGAGAAAUUGUAGAGCUGUGGAAGCGGACCUGCGGGACGACACCAUUUAAAGACACAGAUAAUAUUUGGGCAUCUUUCUCCCCGUUCCGCCGGCCACGAUUCCCUUCUGUCUUUGGAGCUGCCACAUCUGUCCGAGAUGGAGAGACUGUGUCGACGGCUGGAGGGAGAAUUACCAGGAGCGUUUUCUUCCCAACAAGACCCCCCCCCUCCGCCCCCCAAGAUCAGCCAGCAUGUCUUCCUA
rnacentral:lncRNA from 1 species